CAGGGUUUGGCUGGCAUUCCAAAGUUUAUUUGAGUUAAUCUCCAUUCUCAUUGGCCUGCAAAGCUCAGUGAGAACUGGUUUUUCUGGGAGCACUUUCAUUGUUUCCUGAUUAGACUGGUAUCAGAAAUGCCAGAAAGAAAAAGAGAUUGAGAGACAGAAUUUUAUAGAAUGAUUUUUUAAGAGGCCUUGCUAACUUGGUGUGUGGAGUUCAUGAGCUGGGAGCAGGUCCAGUGUUGCAAGUACAAAUCUGUGAGACUGUAAAGUUAUAUUUGUUAUCAAAAGGUUAAAGGGCUUUUCUGGACUUUCAAGGACAUCAGGCUUAAGCUGUGCCCGAUGCGAAGAUUGUGUGUGGUCACUGAAGUUGGAAAUGCCACCAAGACUGCACAUGUUUGCAGCUGGCCCCCUACCGCUUGUUCAUUCUAGGGACCUCCCUGCUGUCUGGUUCUCAUCUGAUCCUUCCUCAGGCCACCAACCUUGUGAUAUAUCACAGAGUUUUGUGUCAUCACUGUCCUCUAUAGCUUCCUCUGCUUGCUGCAGCGGCAGACCCACAUUCUGUGACUGCAUCAGGAUGCACCAGUGUGACAUCAACUUCACUGGCUUUCUGUGUCCUCACCUCCGAAUUUGCACAGCCUGCAUCCAUCCUCCCACUCAUUCCUGGGAACAAAAUCAAAGUUUGUUCUGCUCCUUGAAACUUAACUUUGAUCCUUCUGAGAGGAAAGAAAUUGUAUGCUGCGAGGAAGUUCUUAUUCUUUGCCCAACAGAGAACACCUGUAAGGAAGAAAGAUGUGGGAGUAGAAACAAAAGGAGUUUGAAGACAAUGGAUCAAGAGGUCAAGCUCAUUUCUAGGUCUUGA
rnacentral:lncRNA from 1 species